GGGGACAUCCGUGGAUGGUGAAAGCAGCAAUGCGCCGAUGGAGUGCCUCGCGGCCUAUCAGCUAGUUGGUGGGGUAACGGCUCACCAAGGCGAAGACGGGUAGCUGGUCUG
rnacentral:rRNA from 1 species